rnacentral:rRNA from 1 species
CGAGCGCGUAGCAAUACGAGCGGCAGACGGGUGAGUAACGCGUGGGAAUCUACCAUACCCUACGGAACAACUCCGGGAAACUGGAGCUAAUACCGUAUACGCCCUUUGGGGGAAAGAUUUAUCGGGGAAUGAUGAGCCCGCGUUGGAUUAGCUAGUUGGUGGGGUAAAGGCCUACCAAGGCGACGAUCCAUAGCUGGUCUGAGAGGAUGAUCAGCCACAUUGGGACUGAGACACGGCCCAA